rnacentral:rRNA from 1 species
CCUUAGAGUUUGAUCCUGGCUCAGGACGAACUUUGGCGGCGUGCCUAACACAUGCAAGUCGAACGAGAAUUUGUGGAAAGAGACUUCGGUCAAUGGAAGCGAAGGACAGUGGCGGACGGGUGAGUAACGCGUGAGCAACCUGCCUUUCAGAGGGGGACAACAGUUGGAAACGACUGCUAAUACCGCAUAACACAUAUUGGAGGCAUCUCCGAUAUGUCAAAGAUUUAUCGCUGAAAGAUGGGCUCGCGUCUGAUUAGAUAGUUGGUGAGGUAACGGCCCACCAAGUCUGCGAUCAGUAGCCGGACUGAGAGGUUGAACGGCCACAUUGGGACUGAGAUACGGCCCAGACUCCUACGGGAGGCAGCAGUGGGGAAUAUUGCACAAUGGGGGAAACCCUGAUGCAGCAACGCCGCGUGCGGGAAGACGGUCUUCGGAUUGUAAACCGCUUUUCUUAGUGAAGAAUUCUGACGGUAGCUAAGGAAUAAGCAUCGGCUAACUACGUGCCAGCAGCCGCGGUAAUACGUAGGAUGCGAGCGUUGUCCGGAUUUACUGGGUGUAAAGGGAGCGCAGGCGGGACUGCAAGUUGGAUGUGAAAUGUCGAGGCUUAACCCUCGGAACUGCAUCCAAAACGGUAGUUCUUGAGUGGAGUAGAGGCAAGCGGAAUUCCGAGUGUAGCGGUGAAAUGCGUAGAUAUUCGGAGGAACACCAGUGGCGAAGGCGGCUUGCUGGGCUCUAACUGACGCUGAGGCUCGAAAGUGUGGGGAGCAAACAGGAUUAGAUACCCUGGUAGUCCACACUGUAAACGAUGAUUACUAGGUGUGGGGAGUCUGACCCUUUCCGUGCCGCAGUUAACGCAAUAAGUAAUCCACCUGGGGAGUACGAUCGCAAGAUUGAAACUCAAAGGAAUUGACGGGGGCCCGCACAAGCAGCGGAGCAUGUGGCUUAAUUCGAAGCAACGCGAAGAACCUUACCAGGGCUUGACAUGCCAGUGAAGCCGGGGAAACCCGGUGGCCGGAAGGAGCUAGCACAGGUGGUGCAUGGCUGUCGUCAGCUCGUGUCGUGAGAUGUUGGGUUAAGUCCCGCAACGAGCGCAACCCCUGCCCCGUGUUGCCAGCAUUGAGUUGGGGACUCGCGGGGGACUGCCGGCGUCAAGCCGGAGGAAGGUGGGGACGACGUCAAGUCAUCAUGCCCCUUAUGCCCUGGGCUGCACACGUGCUACAAUGGCCGGCACAGAGGGCUGCCAGGACGCGAGUCCGAGCGAAUCCCCCAAAACCGGCCCCAGUUCGGAUCGCAGGCUGCAACCCGCCUGCGUGAAGCUGGAGUUGCUAGUAAUCGCGGAUCAGCACGCCGCGGUGAAUACGUUCCCGGGCCUUGUACACAAAGCCCGUCA